GCUAUGAUUCCUCUGCUAGCCGGAGCCAUCCUGACUUCGGCGGUGCGUGUCAUCACGCGUGAAUCAUUUUCUGAAAUCU
ncrna:unclassified sequences Peptidase-S11 RNA